rnacentral:rRNA from 1 species
CCCUUAGACGUUCUGGGCCGCACGCGCGCUACACUGACCGGUGCAACAAGCAUCCGUCCUUGGCCGACAGGCCCGGGCAAUCUUUGAACGCCGGUCGUGAUGGGGAUAGACUUUUGCAAUUUUUGGUCUUCAACGAGGAAUUCCUAGUAAACGCAAGUCAUCAACUUGCAUUGAUUACGUCCCUGCGCUUUGUACACACCGCCCGUCGCACCUACCGAUUGAAUGGUCCGGUGAAGCCUCCGGAUUGGCGCGCACCUCGGUGCCGCCGAGAAGUUGGCUAAACCUUACCAUUUAGAGGAAGGUGAAGUCGUAACA